UACGAAGGGGGCUAGCGUUGCUCGGAAUCACUGGGCGUAAAGCGCACGUAGGCGGAUUGCUAAGUCAGGGGUGAAAUCCUGGAGCUCAACUCCAGAACUGCCUUUGAUACUGGCGAUCUCGAGUCCGGGAGAGGUGAGUGGAAACUGCGAGUGUAGAGGUGAAAUUCGUAGAUAUUCGCAAGAACACCAGUGGCGAAGGCGGCUCACUGGCCCGGUACUGACGCUGAGGUGCGAAAGCGUGGGGAGCAAACAGG
rnacentral:rRNA from 1 species